GAGCCUUUUUUCAAAAACCAUAGCUUUUUAUCUUUUCCUAUAAUUUUAGCUCGGAUAUUCGAGCUGACCUGAGCUGUCACUCGAAUUUUUGUGAGUUUACUCGAAUUUUUUGGCUUUAAAAAAUUAUUUUCUACUCUUUUUUCUUUAAGUCGACUUGAAUGAUACUCAAGUCGACUCGAGUAUGUACCUACUGAAACUCUAGUAUGCUAAAACCU
rnacentral:lncRNA from 1 species